rnacentral:ncRNA from 1 species
AGGCAACUCAGAUGCCAUGAACCCCGAGACGCGAUGUCGAGCGGCUCGCCCAGGCCUCGGGGGGAGCCAAUCGCGAAACCGGCUGAGUGGGAU